AGGAGCCCGCUGGGGCCAGGGGACAGAGCAGGCCCUGGGGUGGUGGAGCCCGAGACCCAGGGUUCCAGGGAAAGGGGCAGAGUCCGGCUCAGCUCAUAAACAGAGCUGAUAGGACAGGGCUGGAGGGGGGAGGGCAAGGGUUGGGAGCCAGGGCGUUGGCAUGGGGGUCAGGGGGUAAGCUCUGUGCUCAGAGGAAGCCCCCACCCGGCCCCCAUGGCUUUCCUGGUGGCUGGGACCCUGCAGGUGGCCUCACAGAUCGCCGAUGCUCGAGAGAGCCUGGGAAGAAAGGGGAAGUAUAGCAUGCGGGGCCCAAGGGUGGCCCUGACCCUCAGCAGCGCUGAGGUGUCAGCCUCUAUAGUCGCUGUCCUGGAGGGCGUGUUCCGGACCCUGGGCUUUGAGAGCUGCCAGAGGAGGGAGGCCUCUGUCCAGGGCUUCCUCGGGGAGCUCGCCGCUUUCCGGGAGCAGCUGGAUGCCCUCGGGGGCCCUGUGGGCUGUGCCUUAGUGGCCUUGGUGGCCCCCAGUGGGCAGCUGAAGCAGCCCCAGCAGCUGGUCCGGGAGCUGAGCCGCUGUGGGGCCCUCUGGGGCCGCCCCAAAGUUUUCCUUCUGCUCUCAAGUGCUCCUGGGGCUGCCCCCGAGCCCGGAGCCUUCCUCACUGGCUUGAGCGAGCUGUGUGGCCGCUUUCCUCACUGGUCUCUGCUGCAGCUGCUGACAGAGGUCUUCUGCAGGACAGCUGAAGAGUCCGAGGCCACCUACUGUCCAGUCCUUCGGAGCUCCUUGCGGGGCGCACUGUGCCUGGGCGACGUGGAGCCCUGGGGGCCCGAGCCAGAACCCAGCCCCACUGCUCGGUAUGACCUGUCCGGGACCAGAGCCGCCCUCCUCCUGUCCGUGAUCCACGGCCGGCCCGGGGCCCAGCACGAUGUGGAGGCGCUGGGGGCCCUGUGCCAGGCCCUGAGCUUCAAGACCACGCUAAGGACAGACCCCACGGCCCAGGCUUUCCAGGAGGAGCUGGCCCAGUUCCGGGAGUACCUAGACGCCCACAGGGCCCCAGUGAGCUGUGCCCUUGUGGCCCUGAUGGCCCACGGGGGGCCACAGGGACAGCUGCUGGGGGCCGACGGGCGGGAGGUACGGCCAGAGGCCCUGGUGCAGGAGCUGAGCCGCUGCAGGGCCCUGUGCGGCUGCCCCAAGAUCUUUCUGCUUCAGGCUUGCCGUGGGGGGCAUAGGGACGCCGGUGUGGGGCCCGCAGCUCUCCCUUGGUUCCGGCGCUGGCUGCGGGCAUCACCCACCACCCCCUCGCAUGCCGAUGUCCUCCAGAUUUAUGCUGAUGCCCAAGGCAGCUCUCCCUUCCCCACUGCAGGGAGCUCUGACCAAGCAGACAUCCUGAUGGUCUAUGCAGCUGCCGAGGGCUGUGUAGCCUAUCGGGAUGAGACAGGCUCAGACUUUAUCCAGACGCUGGUGGAGGUCUUCAGAGCUGACCCUGGGAGAGAAGUUCUGGAGCUGCUGACUGAGGUCAACCGGCGGGUGUGUCAGCUGGAGGUGCUGGGUCCCGACUGCCCGGAGCGCCGCAAGGCCUGCCUGGAGAUCCGCAGCUCGCUGAGGCGCCGGAUCUGCCUGCAGGCCUGACCGCGCGCCGCCGCCCCGGGGGUGCGGCCGGUGGGAGCCACAGCCCGGCGCCGCCGCCGACUCCACCCGCGGCCCCCCGUUCCUCAUCUGUCAGUGGGGGCGACAGCCCGGGCGCGGGGCUCGGCCGGCGUGCUAGAAGCGUCUGUGCAUGACCGAGAAUGCGUCCGCUCGCAGGGAGGCGGGGCAGCGGGAGACUGCAGGCGGGGUGCUCGGCACCCAGUAAGGGUGCAUCUGUGCUCCCGGGAGCCAGGCUGGGCCCUCCUUCCUGCGGGCGGAGGGGCUGAGGAGCCCAGCACGGGCCAGGCUGGGCUGGAUGUUCCGAGCAGGGGCAGCCGGGGCCCACGUCGCGGUCUCAGCUCCCGCACCCCGGCGGCGCCCCGCGCCGGGGCCCCGGAAAUGCAGGAGACGCGGUCAGAGUCUAGUCUGGAGCCAUGACACUCUGGACCGAGCCUUGCAGGUGGAUCGGUACUGUGAAUGAGGGGAAACAGGGCCUGGGGAGCGCUGGGCAGCUCCCGACUCAACGCGCUCCGGGGCCACGUGGGGGAAGAGUUCCAAAGGCGCCUGUUAGGGCAGGAAGGGCCUGCGCCGCCUCACCGGGGCUCGAACUCGUAAGCACAAGUCAGGGAGGGCGGUUCUCGCGGAGCCGCCUGGGCUCCUGUCGGCGCCGGGCCCCGGCUCCGCCCACAUCGAGCCCGAGGGGGCGGAGCUCCUUGCCAGUAGGAGCAUGCGUAUUGCGGUACGACACGCAGGCGCCUGAAUCAGCUUUAUGAGAAACGCGGUGGGAGUGCCACCGGCGGGGCCGCGUGGCCUAAUGGAUAAGGCGUCUGAUUCCGGAUCAGAAGAUUGAGGGUUCGAGUCCCUUCGUGGUCGCUGCGCAGCUUGUUUUUCUCCCUCCGCUUUGCCUUUUCCCUCGGUCGGGACUGCGCCCUCCGCGAAACCCUAGGUCGCCUGGGCCGUGCCCCUCCCGCUGCCCCGCCCUCCGGCACCUCGGCAGCCGCCGCGCGCCUGCAAGGGCGGAGCUCAGGAGCCAGCGCCUGGUCCGCACGCCCGCGCCCCCGAGGAGCUGCGAGGCCCACCGGUGGCCGGAACCCGAAGCCACCGGCCGCGAGUCCCGGGGCCCACUAGGGACUGGCUGCACGAAUACAGUCCUGAGGACCAGAGCUGUAACAGAUGAGAGCGGACCGAGUGCUGAUUAUGGUUAAUAAUAUGUUCCGCAUCCCUGAAAGUUGCUGUGAGAGAUCUGGAGCCUUGUCACCACGCACACAGAAAAAGUAACUAUGUGAACUGAUGGAUGUGUUGACUUCACAGUGGUAAAUAUUUCACAAAUGUAUUGAAACCACGAACGAGACUGUUCUGUUCAUCCAGCUUCGGCCUUGCUUCUUCCACUUUCCCAAACAUCCGGGGCCCCGUUGUCCCCACUGGAGUCAAGGACCUCAUCUCAGUGCCGUGUCUCCCAUCAUCGUGGGCGACCUGAGGAGAACGGGGGCCACAGAGCUAUCCAAGGGCUACCACGGAGUUCAACGCUGAGCCAACCAACCAAGAAACCUAAGAGAGCCACAGUCAGCCGCACAGGUGAGCCAACCAGCGCCCCCAGAAGAACCCCUUUCAUGCCACCAUCCUCAUAGUCACCUUUACUGCCACGGCAGUAUAGGACAGCAGCCGCAGGGUCCUUCAGGGCGAUGCUUUGGCCAGCACUCCAUCACAACCGACCAGGUGGCGCGCGGCUCGAUCUCGAUGCCACCACAUGCCGUGGAUUACCAGCAACCCCUUUCCCGUUGGCAAGGAGCUCAGUGGCAUUUGAGCCCAAAUUCAUUACCAAAUCAGGGUCCAGGCAGCAGUCAGAAAACCCAGCCGUGGGUGUUGGGGAGAAAGAGGGAAGGUUGGUACAAGGGCACAAACUUUCCAUUGUGAGACGAAUAGGGUGAGGGGAUCUCACAUACAGCAUGGCGAUGAUAGUUAAUACUGUAUCGUAUGCUUGAAAUUUGCUAAGGGAGUGGAUCCUCAGUGUUCUGACCACACACACACACACACACACACACACACACGGUGACCAUGUGAGAUGAUGCAUGUGUUCAUUCACGAUUACCCUGUGUUGAUGAUGGUAAUCGUUUCACAAUGUAUACAUAUAUCAAACUAUCACAUCAAACACCUUCAGUAUACACGGUUUUUGUCAAUGAUAUCUCAACGAACCUGGGGAGAAAAGAAAAGCCAUCUGUUAUUUUAAUGAACCAUGAUUGAAUGAACGAUGAUUCACUAGAUAUAAAGAGUUGCUAACGGGGCAGUAAAGAAGGCAGAAAGCAGUUACCACCUAUAGGGCUGGUGGGGAGGGGGGGCGAGGGAAGGGGUUGGGAUUAUUAAAAAUCGAAGCUUGGAGAGGGCCUUAAGGAGCUGAAAAGCAGAUGUUGGAGAAAGAGUGCCUCUCAGCUGGGAUGGGUGUCUCUGAGUUCAGAGGAGGGUCCCGUGGACCUCAGGCAGCUUGUGCCGGAGUCUCUAAUGAGCCGUGACGGAGGCUGAUUCUGUGAGUGUGGGGAAAUGUCAAACUGCAUUCAGUUGUUAUUCCUCGGAUGAACCGUUGCUGCCUGGAUAGAACGGGUGGUGGUGGCGGGAACAGAAAACAGGAAGUAGGGACUCCUUCCUCCUCCUCCAGCCUUUCAGUCUAUGCCUCCUGUGGGCCAAAGCUAACAGGGAUGGGCUGUUAAAGCAAUCACCAAGUAGGGUCUGGAAGGGUGAGUUGGAAGCCGGCAAUAGCAGCGUUCUAAUCGGCACACCUGCUCUGUCCUGCUUCCUGAACGUGUUCAGGAAUGAACCCAUUACUCAGAAAUCCCUGCCUCGGGCUUGCUUCUGGGAAACUUGUCCUUCAACGGUUGGAGCCGGACUCUAAGAAUGAGAUUCUAAAGUUGAACCACCCGCUGGCCGCCUGGCCCGGAGGACACAGCACCCGUGGUGGGAGGGUUUUGAGAAAUGCAGAGCAGGUGUCGAGACUUCCGGCUUGUGCUGACCGGGGAUAGACCAGAGAAGCUGGGAAGUGAACUGCCCUUGUCCCAUGUCUCCGGGUGCCUCACAGACACAGCGGGAAAGAUCUGGUCAAGACCGUGGGAUGAUGCGGCUGUUGUUGUCUUUUUUGGUAAGUUUCAAUCUUAAUUCCACUUAGUUAACAUUCAACGUAAUAUUAGUUUCAGGUGUACGAUAUCAUGAUUCAACACUUCCAUACAUCGCCCUGCGCUCAUCAGGCCAAGUGCGCGUCGUAAUCCCCAUCACCUAUCCCCCCCCCCCCCCCCGUG